AGUACAGUUCCCGUCACAGCAAGUGCUUCCUCUCUCGGAGCAGACAAACUAACUGAAGCCACAGCCGGAAGCAGGCUGACCACAAGUGCUAAGGUUCUGGUUAGUUCUUUUCUAGGUUCAAAAGAAGAGGCUGUUCUAAGAAAGACUACCGAGUAAUCAAUCACCUCCUCAGAGAAAGUCUGCUCAGGGACCAGCUCUGUGAACACGGCAAGUAACAACAGAGAGAAAACGUGAGGAGAAAAGAGAGACCGGGAUUUUGAAAUCCUGUUUCCUGAAUGCCAUCUCACCAGGCACACGAAAGAAUAAAAUUAAGGAAUCAAGAGCCA
rnacentral:lncRNA from 1 species